rnacentral:rRNA from 1 species
GAUCAUGGCUCAGGAUGAACGCUAGCGACAGGCUUAACACAUGCAAGUCGAGGGGCAGCGGGGAGUAGCAAUACUCCGCCGGCGACCGGCGCACGGGUGAGUAACACGUGUGCAACCAACCCCGUACCGGGAGAUAACCCGCGGAAACGUGGACUAAUACCCCAUAACACCUUUCCCCCGCAUGGGGGAGAGUUUAAAAUCCCGAUGGUACGGGACGGGCACGCGCGACAUUAGGUAGUUGGCGGGGUAACGGCCCACCAAACCGACGAUGGAUAGGGG